rnacentral:lncRNA from 1 species
CGAAGUUCUUAGCCUUGUCAAAUAACCCAGCCAUUUCCUGAAGCACUGUAGUAACAAGAGAGAUGGAUGGAAGAAGAAAUAGAUAGAUCUAAGCCGGAAAGAUAGAGUAGUUUGGGGACUUUGAAUUUGUGAUUAGGGAAAUAGGAUCCUUGGGAAUAUAUACACGCAGGUGGUAGGCAUGGUAGUGGAGUGGGGUAUGUGGGUUUCUGACACGUGUCGUGAGGUUGCCGUGGAGACGCGUGACGGUGUGUACGUGUCAGUUGUGUUGCCUCCGUGUUUGGAGAUCUGUAAAUCCGGCCGACCAUAGUUGGAAAGAAAAUGGAGAAGGUGUGUACGGAAGUCAUGGCUAAGAUUUAGAUAUUUUAUUUUGUUCUCGUUACCGUGAACGUUAAAAGAGUCAUGGUCUGGGCAUCAAUGAGAGACACCCCAGCUGGGUCCUUGCUCUUUUGGUAACAUUUUCAUUGUUUGGUUCUUCUCUGACCUAUUUUUUAAGAAAAAUAAACAAGUUUCAUACUUUAGGACUUCUCACUUGCUAAAGUUUCCUACUUUACUUCUUACAACACAAGUAUCAUACUUACGAAUUCUUUCAAAAUCUCACAUUCGCCUCAUUAUCUUGUGCUUCUUGUAAUUGUGUUAGAUAACAAGAAACGGUGCAGAUGCUCAUCACAAGAUUGUCAUGGUUAUAAGCACACAAAUUCGUAAACUAUAUUUAUUUUCAAGAUUUCAUUCUUGCAGUGACGACUUCAAUAUAUUAACCCACAAAGUGUUAACUGUGAUCAGCUGAACAGAGUCAGGAGUCAGAACCAGCAGGGGUAUUACAGAAGCCAAACAUAUCUUUUCAACUAAAACACAUAGGAAAUCUUGAUAUGAAGCACAACAUACAAAGACAGAGAAGCUUGAAACUUGGGGAGCUCAACCAAAGAGGCUGGUGAGACUGGGAAGCUUGAUCUCUCCCUUCUUGGACAGAGGUAUGGUGAAAUUCCCAAUCACAGGAAGGUCAAUGGUGAGACCCAAUAUCAACUCAUAAUCAAUGUCCCAAUCUGCCCCAACAUCCUUACACAAGGUCGCCAACACACUAUGUGGCACCUUCACUGGUACCUCCAGAAUUGUAACAUCGCUUGCCUCAAUCGAUCCCGGGUCCGGAAUUUUCCCAGAUACAAUCUCCCUGAAUAACAAAACAAUCAUAUCCAAUCAAACCCUGGUUUUCUUCUACAUCAAGCAAUCAAAACCAAUAAGAAGAUAAACAAAAUUAGUACCUGCCAACACAUUUGAGGGUGUAGGAGAUCUCGCAGAUGGGGAUGGAGUGAUCAUAAGGGUUCUUGACAUGAACCUUGCCGAGGUACUCCGCAGCAUCGAAGCUCGCCUUCCUGAAGUCAACAUCUGUCAGCUCUGCCUCUGGCUUUUCUAUGUUGCCCAGUUUCUCAGUCGCGAAGUUCUUAGCCUUGUCAAAUAUCCCAGCCAUUUUCUGAAGCACUGUAGUAACAAGAGAGAUGGAGGGAAGAAGAAAUAGAUAGAUCUAAGCCGGAAAGAUAGAGUGGUUUGGGGACUUUGAGUUUGUGAUUGGGGAAUAUAGGAUCCUUGGGGAAUAUAUAGACACAGGUGGUAGGCAUAGUAGUGGAGUGGGAUAUGUGGGUUUCUGACACGUGUCGUGAGGUUGCCGUGGAGACGCGUGACGGUGUGUACGUGUCAGUUGUGUUGCCUCCGUGUUUGGAGAUCUGUAAAUCCGGCCGACCAUAGUUGGAAAGAAAAUGGAGAAGGUGUGUACGGAAGUCAUGGCUAAGAUUUAGAUAUUUUAUUUUGUUCUCGUUACCGUGAACGUUAAAAGCGUCAUGGUCUGGGCAUCAAUGAGAGACACCCCAG